GGGGAAAGGAGUCAGCUUCCAGGAUGUGGCGGGAAUGCACGAAGCCAAGCUGGAAGUCCGAGAGUUUGUGGAUUAUCUGAAGAGCCCGGAGCGUUUCCUUCAGCUGGGUGCCAAGGUUCCAAAGGGUGCCCUGCUGCUGGGACCCCCUGGUUGUGGGAAGACGCUGUUGGCCAAGGCAGUGGCCACGGAGGCUCAGGUGCCCUUUUUAGCAAUGGCUGGCCCAGAGUUUGUGGAGGUCAUUGGAGGUAGGUGUGGGCUGAAAGUGUGGGCAGGUUCAUUGGCUCGGUGCCUGGGUUGGCUUUCCACAUAACCUCCCUGACAUGAGAAGCUGAGUGCUACAGAGAAGGACAGACAGCCCAAGUGAAAGUAGAUAAGCUUUGGUCCAA
rnacentral:lncRNA from 1 species